UACGUAGGGUGCGAGCGUUGCCCGGAUUUAUUGGGCGUAAAGGGCGCGUAGGCGGCUCGGCACGUCCGUUGUGAAAUCGCCCGGCUCAACUGGGCGGGGUCAGCGGAUACGGUCGAGCUUGAGCAAGCUAGGGGGUAAUGGAAUUCCCGGUGUAGUGGUGGAAUGCGUAGAUAUCGGGAGGAACACCGAUGGCGAAGGCAGGUCUCUGGGCUGACACUGACGCUCAUGCACGAAAGCGUGGGGAGCAAACAGG
rnacentral:rRNA from 1 species